CGAGAGAGAGAGUAAUAUUGUGUCAAAGUUCUUACCCAGAAAACCGCUUCUGGGAAAUUGCCGUUCCCGAGGUUGGACACACGAGGGCAGUCAAGCUCCAUCCAGCGCAACACACAACGCCGCCUGAAACAGAAGGCCUGCUCAGACACCACAGCGUUUAAAAACCUCGAGAUUCCCGGCGUCAUAAAGAGAACAACCGUCAAACAUACCAUCAGUUCUGGAUCUUCUCGAGUGAAAUAGAUGAGGCCACCUACGGAACAUAUUAAUUUACAUACACAGCAAAAUCCACAGAAAGAAAUCAACUCUAUUGGAUUUAAUGUAAACACUUUUAAAGUGUCUGGAGGGGUCCAC